rnacentral:piRNA from 1 species
GAUCAGAAUAAGGUCCUGGGGCAACUAA